GGUCAGCCGUCGCACGCCCACACGCCGACCCGCCGGCCAUCGUCCGGUCCAAUACGACCAGGCAGCAGGGAUCCAUGUUUUCCCCGGGGGUCAGACCUUCCGUACGCUUCACUCGGGCGGCCAGUAGGACAGCCGGCGUGAUCUCGUCAGCGGCAGACUCGCUGACCUUCUCUCCCCUUCAAUCCUGCGGCCAGCAGGAGUGCAAGACAGAUGCCGCGAUCCCAUAGUCCUGGUUAUUGGACGUCAGCACCGCGAAAUUGCUCCCCGUCAAGUUCCAAUAUAUUGAUGUACAUGCAUGUAUUUCAUGUUGUCAAAAUCCAGGUAUUAUUGUCAAAUUCUGGACCACCAAAGGCUACGAUUUUACUUACGUUAUCUUCGAUUCUCAAUUAACAUGUAUUUCUUCCUUCUGUUUUAUCUAACAAUUAUGCAGGGGAAAGCUUUGGAAAAGGGUGAAUUUCAACUGACUUCUUCCUGCCAUCGAUUCUCAAUGUACAUGCGUGUGUGCUACUAUUUAGUAGACAUAGAAAUAGCAGCCGGUAUACCAGUCAGUUUGUUUUUGCAUGAUUAUUGUUAUAGCUGCAGAUUAUGCGAACUGUUUAGGAGGCUGAAUAUGUACAUGACAUAUCUCAUAAACUUCCCAGAGAAAUUGACAUUUAUUCUAGAAUGGAGAAUCUUAUAUUAACAAAAACUGUCUAGCCAGAUGCUGAUUUGCUUACUUAUGCUUAUGUCACUGAUUUGUUAUCAAACAUUGGUAGAUCAGAUUGCUGUCAGGCACCUCAGCGGUUAACAAUGGUGGACAUGGUGUUGGAAAUAGAGUUCUCCUGAUCAUCGUUACAAUUGUCUACUGAUUGGAAGUGAGUUGUAGGUGGGCUGAGGAGCAACAGAAAAAACAAUUAUCAGAGUUUGCAGUAUGCAUAUUAGCAGCAGUAGUGAAUGAUAGUAAAUCUUCACCUGGUUGGUGAUUGUUUUUAAUCAGAGCUUUAUGAAAUGUUUAAACAAGCCAAUCAUAAAUUGUUUAAUCAGGGAUUUGUCAAUUGUUUUAUAGGAAAAAGAGUAUGAGUAUCAGUGCUUGGUUGCAGCAGUAAGGGAGUCAACUUCUGUUAAAUUGGAUUAUUUGUAUCUGAGAGGUCAAAUCAUUGACAUGCAUAUAGUUUUUCAUAUCAUUUGUUUUAUGAACUGUACAUCAUAACUUGUGGCCUUUUCUGUAUAGAACGCAAGAGGUCCAAUCAUCUUAUGCUAGCAGGACGCGAGUAUCGGAAAGAUGAUGGACAUGUUCUGAAGUUUAUCGAAAAUUUCAAGCAGGCCUGCUAUACACCGUGGAUGUCUUUGGCACAUGAGUUUUGAGGGUAAUAUUCCUAGAAUCAAGUGAUCAAGGCGGCAAGCGGAGCAGGCAACACCUCUGCAGCAGGCAAGGUGGCAUUGAGCAGCGGAACCAGCUGGGCAAGUUUUUGAGCCGUGGCCAGCAAAUAAUGGUGAGGUUCUUUAAGCUGCCAAAAUUCACUGGCCUAUGUCACUAUUUCAGAUUUCCAUAUGCAGAAUAAUGUGCAACCCUCGCCCACUUGAGGGUACAUAUGCAUUGGAUAAUUACUUAACAAAAAUUAUGAGCAUCUAAUUUGUGAGGCCCAGAAUAUUUCCCAGCAUAAUUUUAGAAAUAUCUAUAGCUUUUCUUCUCAGUACCCAUGUUAUCUGAAUAAGUGACUAAUAGCAUCAAAUUGGCUUUUUUUUUAUGGAUACUGAUACUAUAUUAAUUUUUUUUCAUGGUCAUGAUUUCUUUAUUUCUUUUUUAUCCUGGCUUACCUUGUUUUAUGUAAAUACUUAAGCUUAUAAAUCUUAGGUACUUAAUGAAUAAUGAUGAUCUUUUCCAUUUUAUUUUUAUCUUUGCAGUCUUCAAUAUGCUGGUAAGAAUUCAAUUGUAUCCAUCCUUAGAUUUGUGAGGUCUGUUUUGGGGCUUUAUACACUUAAAUAGGAACCACGGAAAUUUAUCCUUUGUGGGGAUAAGCUAUGAGAUACAUUUUUGGUGCACUUUUUUUGUGAGAAAUGAAGCUAUUCAAUGUCCAAACUACAGAGCUACUUACACUAGAAGGUAUCCAAAUGUUUAUUUUUGGUUGGCUUUAUGUUACUAAGUUAAGGCAUUGUAGUAGAAACUGAAACAAAUUGAUAAAAGGAAGAGUUUGUGAUCCUUGAAAGCACAUCAGUACAAGCAAUAGCGUAAGUCUUGGCUACAGCAUGCACGAAGCUUAUACUGACAAGUAAGAUGUUUGUCAGUUGUAAACGGAUCAGGAAAGGGAAAGGAAGAGCAGUAGGGCAACAAGAUGUCUCG